AUUGAACGCUGGCGGCAUGCCUUACACAUGCAAGUCGAACGGCAGCGCGGGGCAACCUGGCGGCGAGUGGCGAACGGGUGAGUAAUAUAUCGGAACGUACCCUGGAGUGGGGGAUAACGUAGCGAAAGUUACGCUAAUACCGCAUUCGAUCUAAGGAUGAAAGUGGGGGAUCGCAAGACCUCAUGCUCCUGGAGCGGCCGAUAUCUGAUUAGCUAGUUGGUGGGGUAAAGGCCUACCAAGGCAUCGACCAGUAGCUGGUCUGAGAGGACGACCAGCAACACUGGAACUGAGACACGGUCCAGACUCCUACGGGAGGCAGCAGUGGGGAAUUUUGGACAAUGGGCGCAAGCCUGAUCCAGCAAUGCCGCGUGAGUGAAGAAGGCCUUCGGGUUGUAAAGCUCUUUUGUCAGGGAAGAAACGGUGAGGGCUAAUAUCCCUUGCUAAUGACGGUACCUGAAGAAUAAGCACCGGCUAACUACGUGCCAGCCGCCGCGGUAAUAC
rnacentral:rRNA from 1 species